UUCAAAGGCGCUGUUUUUCACUCAGUGAGCUACGGAACUUGCAACGUUGACGGUGCUAGGAAAACGUGCACAUAUUUUCGAUUUGAAUCGCGCGUGUCUAUUUCUGACCGAUCCAUUUCCAAUCUUAUGGAAGAUUUACGGUGUGUUGUUCUGGUGAAAUUUCAAUCGUGAUCGAACUUUUUUAACCGUGAUCACAUCCGUUUUCACGUGUUACACAGCCACAGUUUGUUAUUCCAAUUAGAGAUUUAUCUUGUGCCAGUUUUUCUAUUAAGUUGAUUUAUUAGGAGGAAACCCCUCUAGUGGUGAAAAUUAUUCUUAAUUUUAAAUUUGUGAUUGUAAAGUAACAGAAAAUUGAAAAUUUGUCUUGAGUAACGUGAUUCUCGAUUAUUUAUAUUUGCUGUCUGGCUUAUUUUGUUAAUUCAAUGGCAAGCGCGAAUUAUUUAAACGUUGAAUUUUUUAACCAGUCGAGUGAAUCAUCCCAUUAACCAAAACCUUUUACAUACAAUUAUGAAAUUAAAAAUGAAUAAAAAUACAUUAAUUACAAUUAGGAUAGUUCUAAUUUUUAAUCCUUCCAAAGGAUAUUAUUAUUUCAUUGAUUUGUAAUAGAAAUGGAAUGCCACGUAAAAAGUGACCUCUAAAUAAAGAAGGGAGAGAUUUCGAAUAACUAAUUAACUUAUCUUUUCCGAUUAACAAAUUAAAACCCCUCAUUAAAUUAUAACG